rnacentral:rRNA from 1 species
CAGCAGCCACGGUAAUACAGAGGGUGCGAGCGUUAAUCGGAUUUACUGGGCGUAAAGCGUGCGUAGGCGGCUAAUUGAGUCAGAUGUGAAAUCCCCGAGCUUAACUUGGGAAUUGCAUUCGAUACUGGUUAGCUAGAGUGUGGGAGAGGAUGGUAGAAUUCAAGGUGUAGCGGUGAAAUGCGUAGAGAUCUGGAGGAACACCAGUGGCGAAGGCGACUCCCUGGUCUGUAACUGACGCUGAGGAGCGAAAGCGUGGGGAGCGAACAGGAUUAGAUACCCCGGUAGUCCCUGUCUCUUAUAC